AACGAACGCUGGCGGCAUGCCUAACACAUGCAAGUCGAACGAGACCUUCGGGUCUAGUGGCGCACGGGUGCGUAACGCGUGGGAACCUGCCCUUAGGUUCGGAAUAACUCCCCGAAAGGGGUGCUAAUACCGGAUAAUGUCUUCGGACCAAAGAUUUAUCGCCUUUGGAUGGGCCCGCGUUGGAUUAGCUAGUUGGUAGGGUAAAAGCCUACCAAGGCGACGAUCCAUAGCUGGUCUGAGAGGAUGAUCAGCCACACUGGGACUGAGACACGGCCCAGACUCCUACUGGAGGCAGCAGUGGGGAAUAUUGGACAAUGGGCGAAAGCCUGAUCCAGCAAUGCCGCGUGAGUGAUGAAGGCCUUAGGGUUGUAAAGCUCUUUUACCCGGGAUGAUAAUGACAGUACCGGGAGAAUAAGCGCCGGCUAACUCCGUG
rnacentral:rRNA from 1 species